ACGGCCAUACCAUGCUCGUUAGAUCGUUCUCGUUAGAUCACCGAAGUCAACCAUCAUUGGGCGCGGCCAGUACCCGGGUGGGUGACCUCCUGGGAACACCGCGUGCCGUCG